GACUGCGUGUAUCCGGUGGGGAGGGCACAGGAGGGUCAUUUUAAGUAAUUAGUGGAACUCCGAGGAGGAUUUUUACCUGCUGACCACCUCCCGUCUACAUCUACAGAUUUAUUUCAGUGUUUGCUGCUGGUAACGUUAUGCUUUUAGAAACAUGUUUACACAUUAGCCAACUUCUUUAUUUUAGCUAGCUUGUAAAUACAACAUGCUUUCCCAAAUCUUUGAUUGGGUCCAACUUGUGACAAACUAAAAACACCUGAGAGGCUCAAACAGGUUUCGUUCUAUGACCUGAUUCUUUAAGCACUUGAAGCAAAGCAGGAGGGGAUGCCGCCUUUAGUUGGAGCUGAGCUGAUCCAGACGCCGCUGCAGCUUUAUCGAUUCCUCCUCAGAUGCUGCAGGCAGCUGCCGUCCCCAGCGAUGCAGCAGCACUACCGACACGCCAUACGACAGGGUUACAACAGCCACGCGGAUGAAGAUGAUCCAGAGAGGAUCCAGAUGAUAAUACAGAGAGCUGUCACAGAUGCAGACUGGAUUCUAGAGAAGUAUACCAAGAAGAAGUGAGCUGAGGAGGGAGUCUGAGGCGGUUCCUAACAUCCCAGGGUCUUCACAUUAUUUGCUCCUCAUUGUUUUGAAGAUGUGAAAAGAAAACCUUUCAGGCUUUCCUCUCGACACGGUAAAUCCUCCCAGCUGCAGCGGGAGGAUGUUUUCUGAUGACGCCGGAGCUUGGAAUUACUUGGGAGAAGAAGCUGCAGCAGGAGCGACUCUACAGCGGGAGUCGCCCAGUACAGG